rnacentral:tRNA from 1 species
UCCCUGGAGGACUAGUGGUUAGGUCACAGCGCGCUCACUGCUGCAGCCCGGGUUCAAUUCCUGGCCAUGGGA